rnacentral:rRNA from 1 species
GAUGAACGCUGGCGGCGUGCCUAACACAUGCAAGUCGAGCGAACGGACGAGGAGUUUGCUUCUCUGACGUUAGCGGCGGACGGGUGAGUCACACGUGGAUACCCUACCUAUAAGGCUGGGAUCACUUCGGGACACCGGAGAUAACACCGGAUACUAUCUUGAACCGCAUGGUUCAAUAGAGAAAGACCGUUUUGCUGUCACUUGUACAUGUAUCCGCGUCGCAUUAGCUAGUUGGUAAGGUAACGGCUUACCAAGGCAACGAUGCGUAGCCGACCUGAGAGGGUGAUCAGCCACACUGGAACUGAGACACGGUCCAGACUCCUACGGGAGGCAGCAGUAGGGAAUCUUCCGCAAUGGGCGAAAGCCUGACGGAGCAACGCCGCGUGAGUGAUGAAGGUCUUCGGAUCGUAAAACUCUGUAAGUAGGGAAGAAGAAAUGUAUAAGUAACUAUGCACGUCUUGACGGUACCAAAACAGAAAGCCACGGCUAACUACGUG